rnacentral:misc_RNA from 1 species
ACGAGUUUUGAAACGAGUUGUAGCUGGCCUUCCGAGGCAUGUGCACGCUCUGCUCAUCCACUCUACCCCUGUGCACUUACUGUAGGUUGGCGUGGGCUCCUUAACGGGAGCAUUCUGCCGGCCUAUGUAUACUACAAACACCUUAAAGUAUCAGAAUGUAAACGCGUCUAACGCAUCUAUAAUA